rfam:Ictidomys tridecemlineatus contig043329, whole genome shotgun sequence.
GGAGUUGUAGCUCAGUGGUAGAGCACUUACCUAGUAUAUGUGAAGCACUGGGUUCAAUUCUCAGCACCA